rnacentral:rRNA from 1 species
GGUGCAUUAGCUAGUUGGUAAGGUAACGGCUUACCAAGGCGAUGAUGCAUAGCCGAGUUGAGAGACUGAUCGGCCACAAUGGAACUGAGACACGGUCCAUACUCCUACGGGAGGCAGCAGUAGGGAAUCUUCCACAAUGGGCGCAAGCCUGAUGGAGCAACACCGCGUGAGUGAAGAAGGGUUUCGGCUCGUAAAGCUCUGUUGUUGGAGAAGAACGUGCGUGAGAGUAACUGUUCAUGCAGUGACGGUAUCCAACCAGAAAGUCACGGCUAACUACGUGCCAGCAGCCGCGGUAAUACGUAGGUGGCAAGCGUUAUCCGGAUUUAUUGGGCGUAAAGCGAGCGCAGGCGGUUGCUUAGGUCUGAUGUGAAAGCCUUCGGCUUAACCGAAGAAGUGCAUCGGAAACCGGGCGACUUGAGUGCAGAAGAGGACAGUGGAACUCCAUGUGUAGCGGUGGAAUGCGUAGAUAUAUGGAAGAACACCAGUGGCGAAGGCGGCUGUCUGGUCUGCAACUGACGCUGAGGCUCGAAAGCAUGGGUAGCGAACAGGAUUAGAUACCCUGGUAGUCCAUGCCGUAAAC